GAUGAACGCUGGCGGCGUGGAUAAGGCAUGCAAGUCAAACGGCCCUUGAAUGUUCGCAUUUUUGGGAAGUGGCAAACGAGUUAGUAACACCUUGGUACGUACCCUCCAGUCGGGCACAACGGUUCGAAAGUUCCGCUAAUUCCCGAUGGUCCGGCAACGGUAGAGAAGCAAUUCGCUGGAGGAGCGGCCUAGGCCCUAUCAGCUUGUUGGUGAGGUAAAAGCUCACCAAGGCUACGACGGGUAGGGGGCGUGAGAGCGUGACCCUCAACGACGAAACUGAGACACGGUUCGUACACCUACGGGUGGCAGCAGUCGAGAAUAUUCGACAAUGGGCGAAAGCCUGAUCGAGCGACGCCGCGUGCAGGAAGAAGGCCUUCGGGUCGUAAACUGCUUUUGCGUGGGAAGAAUUUUGACGGUACCACGAGAAUAAGGGGUUGCUAACUCUGUGCCAGCAGCAGCGGUAAUACAGAGACCCCGAGCGUUAUCCGGAUUUACUGGGCGUAAAGCGCGAGCAGCCGGUUGUAUUAGUCUGAUGUAAAAGGACGAGGCCCAACUUCGUCAUCGCACCAGAAACGGUACAGCUAGAAUAGGUAAGAGGUAGGCGGAACGUGUAGUGUAGGGGUGAAAUCCACUGAUAUUACACGGAACACCAAAAGCGAAGGCAGCCUACUAGUGCCUCAUUGACGGUCAGUCGCGAAAGCGUGGGGAUCAAAAAGGAUUAGAUACCCUUGUAGUCCACGCCCUAAACGAUGUCUACUAGCUAUUGGGAGCAUCGACCCUUCCAGUGGCGAAGCUAACGCGUUAAGUAGACCGCCUGGGAAGUACGAGCGCAAGCUUAAAACUCAAAGAAAUAGGCGGGAACUUGCACAAGCAGUGGAUCAUGUGGUUCAAUUCGACUCUAACCGAGAAACCUCACCAGGGCUUGAAAUCCAGCUGCACGCUUCAGAAAUGAAGAAGCCUUCGAGGGUGCUGGACAGGUGGUGCACGGCUGUCGUCAGCUCGUCACGUGAGUGGUCUCCUUAAGUGGAUUAACGAGCGCAACCCCUACGAUGUGUUACAAGUGUCACAUUGGACUGCUCCGGUAACGGAGAGGAAGGUGGGGACGACGUCAAGUCAGCGUGCCCCUUAUGCCCUGGGCUACACACAUGAUACAAUGGACGUUACAACGGGUCGCCAAGCCGCGAGGCGGAGCUAAUCCUAUCAAAGGCGUCCCCAGUUCGGAUUGGAGGCUGCAACUUGCCUCCAUGAAGUUGGAAUUGCUAGUAAUCGCGGAUCAUCACGCCGCGGUGAAUACGUUCUCAAGUUUUGCACUCACUGCCCGUCAACUCAAGGGAGCCGGGAAUACCUGAAGACCCAUAUUUAUACGGGGGACACGGUAGGUUCGGUAACAGGGAGU
rnacentral:rRNA from 1 species